UACGGAGGGAGCUAGCGUUGUUCGGAAUUACUGGGCGUAAAGCGCGCGUAGGCGGCUUUGUAAGUUAGAGGUGAAAGCCCGGGGCUCAACCCCGGAACUGCCUUUAAGACUGCAUCGCUUGAAUCCGGGAGAGGUGAGUGGAAUUCCGAGUGUAGAGGUGAAAUUCGUAGAUAUUCGCAAGAACACCAGUGGCGAAGGCGGCUCACUGGCCCGAUACUGACGCUGAGGUGCGAAGCGUGGGGAGCAAACAGGAUUGAGAU
rnacentral:rRNA from 1 species